GGCCUUUUGAUUAUGAUUUAAGGUCUAGCCUGCCCAAUGAUGUAAAAAUUUAAUGGCCGCAGUACACUAACUGUGCAAAGGUAGCAUAAUCAUUAGUUUUUUAAUUGAAAGCUGGAAUGAAAGGUUUGAUGAGAAAAAAGCUGUCUCUAUUUAAAAUUUUAGAAAUUUAUUUUUAAGUUAAAAAGCUUAAAUUUAUAUUGAAGACGAGAAGACCCUAUAGAGUUUGAUUUAUAAAUUAAUAAAUAAAAUUUAGUAUUUAAGAUUUUAUUUUUGAAUAAAUUUAGUUGGGGUGAUUGAAAAAUUUGUAAAACUUUUUUUAUAUUUUUACAUUUAUUUAUGAAUUUAUGAUCCUUUUAGUAGAUUAUAAGAUAAAAUUACCUUAGGGAUAACAGCGUAAUUUUUUUUAGAGUUCUUAUCGAAUAAAAAGAUUGCGACCUCGAUGUUGGAUUAAAAUUAAAUUUUUGGUGUAGAAGCUAAAAGAUUAGGUCUGUUCGACCUUUAAAUUUUUACAUGAUCUGAGUUUAAACCGGUGUAAG
rnacentral:rRNA from 1 species